UACGUAGGGCGCAAGCGUUGUCCGGAAUUAUUGGGCGUAAAGAGCUCGUAGGCGGCCUGUUGCGUCCGCUGUGAAAUCCCGGGGCUUAACCCCGGGCGUGCAGUGGAUACGGGCUGGCUAGAGGCAGGCAGGGGAGAACGGAAUUCCCGGUGUAGCGGUGGAAAUGCGCAGAUAUCGGGAGGAACACCGGUGGCGAAGGCGGUUCUCUGGGCCUGUUCUGGACGCUGAGGAGCGAAAGCGUGGGGAGCAAACAGG
rnacentral:rRNA from 1 species